GAUAAACGCUGGCGGCGUGCUUAACACAUGCAAGUCGAACGAAGUUUUUCCUUCGGGAGAAACUUAGUGGCGGACGGGUGCGUAACGCGUGGGUAACCUGCCCUGUACAGGGGGACAACAGCUGUAAACGGCUGCUAAUACCGCAUAAGCCCUUAGCACUGCAUGGUGCAUAGGGAAAAGGAGCAAUCCGGUACAGGAUGGACCCGCGUAUGAUUAGCCAGUUGGCAGGGUAACGGCCUACCAAAGCGACGAUCAGUAGCCGAUCUGAGAGGAUGUACGGCCACAUUGGGACUGAGACACGGCCCAGACUCCUACGGGAGGCAGCAGUGGGGAAUAUUGCACAAUGGAGGAAACUCUGAUGCAGCGACGCCGCGUGAGUGAAGAAGUAUUUCGGUAUGUAAAGCUCUAUCAGCAGGGAAGAAAAUGACGGUACCUGACUAAGAAGCACCGGCAAAAUACGU
rnacentral:rRNA from 1 species